rnacentral:rRNA from 1 species
AGAGUUUGAUCAUGGCUCAGAUUGAACGCUGGCGGCAUGCUUUACACAUGCAAGUCGAACGGCAGCACAGGGAGCUUGCUCCCGGGUGGCGAGUGGCGCACGGGUGAGUAAUACAUCGGAACGUGUCCUGUUGUGGGGGAUAACUGCUCGAAAGGGUGGCUAAUACCGCAUGAGACCUGAGGGUGAAAGCGGGGGAUCGCAAGAUCUCGCGCAAUUGGAGCGGCCGAUGCCCGAUUAGCUAGUUGGUGAGGUAAAGGCUCACCAAGGCGACGAUCGGUAGCUGGUCUGAGAGGACGACCAGCCANACUGGGACUGAGACACGGCCCAGACUCCGUACGGGAGCA